GUGGGCAUAGCUCAGUGGUAGAGUGCCUGCUGAGCAUGCCUGAGGUCCUGAGUUCAAUCCCCAGUACCCCCA
rnacentral:tRNA from 1 species